rnacentral:lncRNA from 1 species
GCAAAUAAAAGAAAAUGUUAUAAAAAAUAUUGGUGCAAUAAAAAGAUUUAACAAAAAAAUUGUAUUUAUUUUAAUAAAAAAAUUAAUUUUAAAAAAUAUGAUGACAAAUAUUUUUAUUAUUUUUGCACAGUUAGUGCUGUUGAAUUUUUCACCUAUAUUUUCUGUAACGUGUGGAGAAUAUUUUAUUAUUUUAUUAGAUAACUUUUUAUUUGAAGGUCAUGUACAUGGGUGGUGUCUCAAUUUCCUAAUUCUUGAGAUGAUUGUAAGAGAUUUAUAGCAGCUUUUAUGUUUAAUCAAGUAUUUGAGAUAUUUAAGGCUGUGCUGUAGGUAUGCACUUAUUCGGAGUAAAAUGCACAAAUGUUAUUAUAAUUUUAUCCAC